AAAUUAAUAUUGUAAUUGGAAAUAAACUCAGAACUGUGACCUAUGAAAAUGUUGUUUUUUGCAGGAUAAACUCAAACAGUGCUUCCAAGAGGGAUUGGAUGGAAGUUAAAAAGAAGUGGACAGGCAUGAAAAGUCAAACAAGGAAACGAGCAGCGAGUCAAAAAAGGAAGAAGACGAAAACAGGAGGUGGGCCUCCACCAAUGGAAGAUCUUAACCAUGUUGAACAAAUGAUUGUGUCACUGAUACCACCAUGCCAAAUAGAGGGAUGUGAGGGCGGAAUGGAAAGUGAAGAAUAAGAUCAUGUGAGUGGUUGCUCCUCUGUGCCACAAACAGCAGUAAGUGCCAAAAGUCUGCCACAAUCAGUUGCCUCGGGGAAACCUAAAGGUCAGAUCAUCCAAAUCGAGGAGGAACAACUGGAGGUAUUGGAGGGAAUUUUGAGAGCACAAAAUGAAUUGGUUGAUGUGGAGAGGAGGAAGCUGCAAUUGGAAGAAGAAGAAAAAUGUCAAUUCUGAGAAAUAUUUAUGCUGACAAAAGUUUGUCACCCAUUAUCAAUUUCUAUUAGAUCACUGUCAAGGCUCCACUGUGUGUAGCCUAUUACUUGUAAAAUAUGU